rnacentral:rRNA from 1 species
GGGUCAGUAGGUUGGUCGUGCCACCGGUACGUACUGGUCUCACUGAUUCCUCCUUCCUGAAGAACCGUAAUGCCAUUAAUUUGGUGUUGCGGGGAGACAGGACUGUUACUUUGAAAAAUUAGAGUGUUUAAAGCAAGCUAACGCUUGAAUACAUUAGCAUGGAAUAAUGAAAUAGGACGAUCGAUCCUAUUUUGUUGGUUUCUAGGAUUGACGUA